rnacentral:rRNA from 1 species
AUGCGUACGGAGGUUAUCAAGGCAGACACCAUUGAUGUGGCCGUUAAAAGAAUUCUCAAUGAACUCAAUGAAAGUAGACAGAACGUCAUCUACUUCGAUGGCUGGGAAGGACUGGGGGCAUCUUCGGUCCUGCGAGACAUAGCUCGACGCUUGGAAUUAAAGGAACCGACUAGGCCUCCUGGACUGGAUUUUGAGCAAGUCUUCCACAUUGACUGCUCAAAGUGGGAGAGCACAAGAGCAUUGCAGAGAGAAAUCGCAGAGCAGCUCAAGCUUCCCAAUUGGGUGAUGAAGAUGUUUGACAACCAAGAUGAGGAGGAUGAUUUCAAUGGGAUUAUUGAUCAGAGCUCUCGCACAGAGAUAGCAGAUGUUGCAAUUGAGAUCCAGAGGAGCAUUCAGGGCCGCAGAUUUCUUGCUGUUCUUCACAACGGAAGCAAUGAGGAUAUUGACAUAUCUAGACUUGGUCUUUCUGUAUACCCGUAUUUGACCAACAAGGUGGUAUGGACUUUCCAAGGGAGGUUCCGGAUGGAUCCCAAGAUGGUAGACAGUGUGAAGAAGAGCAAAACAACAGAUGUUAUUGUUUCAGCUUCAAGUGAUGUACGAGAUCCACGGGAGCUUUGGUUGUAUCUAGUGCACCAAGAGGCUGUAGAAGUUUCUUUCAAUAAGCAUGGUCAUUGCAUCAUCAAUCCAGAGAUUGCUGCAGAGUGUGUUUUGUAUAUGUUGAAACAAUCCUGGAUUAGCUCUCAGUGUCACAUGAUUGAAUAUGACUGGGCUAUCCAUAGCAGUAACUAUUGGGCAUGCGAUGGGAUCAUCGCACUGACCGAGAUAGACCAAUCAUGGCAAGUUAGCAAUGCUCUGCAACGCGAGCUGUUGUUGUUGCUGGACAUGGACAACCGCCCUAACGGUGAUGAAUCAAGAGUAGUGCCUUCCAGCUCUCACCUGGCAAGGUCUGUCGAGUGCAUGCCAUACUGGAUUUCAACAACAACUUGUGGGCUUGUAGUGAGUCCCUCUGGUGCUAUUCCCGACAACUUGUUCCAAAACACGCACAGACUUGGUGUGCUCAAGCUCUCAAGGUGUACUUUCAGUUUCUCAUCGCCUCCAUUCCUCUGUUGCCAGAGCCUGAGAUUCUUGUGGCUUGAGAACUGCAAAGACCUUGUAACAAGCACAAGCACCACAAAUCAUCACCCAAGAGAUGCACACAAGGAGCAGGAGUUGGAGAGCAGCAGCACGACAUCUUGGGAAUGCUUUCAAAGUUUGUGGGUGCUUGACCUGCGCUACACAGAUUGGGAUCAGAUUUUGUCUGCAAGGGUGUUGGAUGUGAUGACUCAGGUCAGGGAGCUAAAUGUAAUGGGAGCCAGGAACUGGGACAUUAGCCAUAUACGGGGAUGGCUAUGUAACAUACGCAAGCUCCGGAUAACAAAGUCCACCUGCUUCUUCAACAACAACGUGUUCUCAGAGAUGGAAAACAUGGAGCUUCUUGAUUUUUCGGGAAAUCACAUCACACAAGGCAUGACAUGCUUAUCUGGGCCAGCAAGCACUAGCCUGAAGAGCGUCAUUAUUGAUGGAUGUGAUGGGUUAGAAAAUAUCUCUUUUAGGGGCUGCAAAGAAUUGUCAAACGUGUUGUUGAAAGGAUUAUUUAGGGGUCUCGAGGAGCUGGAACUCUCAGGCACAAGAGUGAAAGUCCUCAAUCUGACAGGAAUGGAAGCCAGAUCACUCCCCAGGCAGAUCAUCAUCCUAGGCUGCGAGAAGCUCCGUGCAAUAUUGUGGCCACUGAGUAUGAAAAAGGAAGGGUUGCCGAAAGUGUUGCACAUUAACACCACCUCACCAUCAGUAACAACUUACAGAGGGGAGGCACCACCUGUGCAUCCACAUGCUGAUCUAUCCCUCCACCAGCAGAAAGAGGAAAUCUUUAAGGGCGGAUGGCGGAUUUGUAUCACGGAUGCAAGGCUCCUUAGUUCCCUCUCUCCCAUAGAAAGGUUUUUAAUAGGAUUGCACGUACAUAUUGAUAUCUGCCCUGCAGUUAAUAUUGGUGGUAGCAGUGACAAACUAGUGCAAGUCCACCUGCAUACAAGUACCUUAAUGGACUCCAAGUACAGAGAUGUCUUGAAGGAAGGCCCAGUUGCAGCAAUGAUGAUGUGCGACGGCCCCAAGAUACAGAGGCACUGGAAUAACCAAGUUACAUGUUUCAUAAAGUUGGUGAUGCACGGGCAGGGGAAUAGACUCUUGGAGGAUGCUGCGGGUGCUAGUACUAGUGCUUUAUUAUUGCCUAAAUUUUUAUGUGAGUUGGCUACAUCGCUGCACGUGUAUGAUAACUUGUCCAUCACUAGUAUCCCUGGACCUCCCCAAGGAUCAAAAUGGAGUGGACUAAGAUGGUGCUGCGUGGAGAGAUGCCCCAGGUUACACACACUCUUUCAGAGACCUCCCCGUGACACUCGUUUGUCCGGCCUUUCGGAUCUGGGGACAUUAUGGGCAUCCAAGCUCCUCUCUGCACUAUACAUGUGGGACAAUCCAGUUGAAAGUAACUUUGUUCGCCUGAUCUUAUUGCACCUGGACCACUGCCCUAGGCUCGUACAUGGGAUCCCCUUGUCCAGGUUUUGGGACAGAUACACAAUGAGGUGGCUGGAGACCAUCGAAAUAGUGUACUGCGGUGACAUAAGGGAGGUAUUCCCUUUGAGCCCUGAGCGUCAUGAGCAGGAUAAGAUUAGAGUAUUUCGUGAUCUGAGGCGCAUCCACCUGCACGAGCUCCCCAAGCUGCAGCGCAUCUGUGGGUUCAGGAUGUCCGCACCAAAACUCGAGACCAUCAAGAUCAGGGGCUGCUGGAGCCUCAAGCGUGUGCCAGCCAUCGGACGCAACACCAAGCCACCCAAGGUAGACUGCGAGAAGGAAUGGUGGGACAACCUGGAGUGGGACGGGUUGGAGAAGUACCACCACCCUUCCCUCUAUGAGCCGAGCCACUCGCUGUACUACAAGGCCCAACUGCCCCGAGGCACCGUACUCAGGUAG